rnacentral:rRNA from 1 species
GACGGUACCUGAGGAAUAAGCACCGGCUAACUUCGUGCCAGCAGCCGCGGUAAUACGAAGGGUGCAAGCGUUAAUCGGAAUUACUGGGCGUAAAGCGUGCGUAGGCGGUUUGUUAAGUCUGUUGUGAAAUCCCCGGGCUCAACCUGGGAAUGGCAAUGGAUACUGGCAAGCUAGAGUGUGAUAGAGGAUGGUGGAAUUCCCGGUGUAGCGGUGAAAUGCGUAGAGAUCGGGAGGAACAUCAGUGGCGAAGGCGGCCAUCUGGAUCAACACUGACGCUGAGGCACGAAAGCGUGGGGAGCAAACACGAUUAGAUACCCCGGUAGUCCACGCCCUAAACGAUGCGAACUGGAUGUUGGUCUCAACUCGGAGAUCAGUGUCGAAGCUAACGCGUUAAGUUCGCCGCCUG